rnacentral:rRNA from 1 species
CCUACGGGGGGCAGCAGUGGGGGAUAUUGCACAAUGGGGGGAACCCUGAUGCAGCGACGCCGCGGGGGUGAAGGAGUGCUUCGGCAUGUAAAGCCCUAUCGGCAGGGAAGAAGCAAGACGGUACCUGACUAAGAAGCCCCGGCUAACUACGUGCCAGAAGCCGCGGUAAUACGUAGGGGGCGAGCGUUAUCCGGAUUCACUGGGUGUAAAGGUAGCGUAGAUGGCCAUGCAAGCCAGGGGUGAAAGCCCGGGGCCCAACCCCGGGACUGCCCUUGGAACUGUGCGGCUAGAGUGCGGGAGGGGCAGGCGGAAUUCCUGGUGUAGCGGUGAAUUGCGUAGAUAUCAGGAGGAACACCGGCGGCGAAGGCGGCCUGCUGGACUGCGACUGACGUUGAGGCUCGAAAGCGUGGGGAGCGAACAGGAUUAGAUACCCUAGUAGUC